rnacentral:rRNA from 1 species
UGAAUACGAGACGCUACGGCGUCGAAGCAGUCUAUGUCAUACUUCCAAGAAAAGCUCGCAAUGUCAUAAACAAAUAAUGCCUGUACCAUAACCGACACAGGUGGGUAGGUAGAGUAUACUAAGGGGCGCGAGAUAACUCUCUCUAAGGAACUCGGCAAAAUGACUCCGUAACUUCGGGAGAAGGAGUGCCUUAUUUAUAAGGUUGCAAUAACAAGAUCCAAGCAACUGUUUAUCAAAAACACAGGUCUCCGCUAAGUCGUAAGACGAUGUAUGGGGGCUGACGCCUGCCCAGUGCCAGAAGGUUAAAGAAGUUGGUUAGCAUACGCGAAGCUGAUAACUGAAGCCCUGGUGAACGGCGGCCGUAACUAUAACGGUCCUAAGGUAGCGAAAUUCCUUGUCGGGUAAGUUCCGACCCGCACGAAAGGCGUAAUGAUUUGGAUACUGUCUCGGAGAGGGGCUCGGUGAAAUAGACUUGUCUGUGAAGAUGCGGACUACCUGCACCUGGACAGAAAGACCCUAUGAAGCUUUACUGUAACUUGAAAUUGAAAUUGGACUUUAUUUGCGCAGCAUAGGUGGGAGGCGUUGAGAGUAUUCUUGCGGGAAUAUUGGAGCCAUCAGUGAGAUACCACUCUUGUAAUGUUAGAUUUCUAACUUUGGAUCAUUAUCUGGUCAAAGAACAGUUUCAGGCGGGCAGUUUGACUGGGGCGGUCGCCUCCCAAAUGGUAACGGAGGCGUACAAAGGUUUCCUCUGAACGGGUAGAAAUCGUAUCUAGAGUGUAAAGGCAUAAGGAAGCUUGACUGUGAGACCUACGAGUCGAGCAGGGACGAAAGUCGGUCUUAGUGAUCUGACGGUGCUGAGUGGGAAGGCCGUCACUCAACGGAUAAAAGUUACUCUAGGAUAACAGGCUGAUCUCCCCCAAGAGUUCACAUCGACGGGGAGGUUUGGCACCUCGAUGUCGGCUCAUCGCAUCCUGGGGCGGUAGUACGUCCCAAGGGUUGGGCUGUUCGCCCAUGAAAGCGGUACGCGAGCUGGGUUCAGAACGUCGUGAGACAGUUCGGUCCAUAUCCGGUGUAGGCGUUAGAAUAUUGAGAGGAGCCUUCUUUAGUACGAGAGGACCGAGAAGGACAUACCUCUGGUGUACCAGUUAUCGUGCCAACGGUAAACGCUGGGUAGCUAUGUAUGGAGAGGAUAACCGCUGAAAGCAUCUAAGUGGGAAGCCCACCUCAAGAUAAGUAUUCUCAUG